GACAGAGGGUGCAAACGUUGUUCGGAAUUACUGGGCGUAAAGGGCUCGUAGGCGGCCAACUAAGUCAGACGUGAAAUCCCUCGGCUUAACCGGGGAACUGCGUCUGAUACUGGAUGGCUUGAGGUUGGGAGAGGGAUGCGGAAUUCCAGGUGUAGCGGUGAAAUGCGUAGAUAUCUGGAGGAACACCGGUGGCGAAGGCGGCAUCCUGGACCAAUUCUGACGCUGAGUGAGCGAAAGCCAGGGGAGCAAACGGG
rnacentral:rRNA from 1 species